AGUUGGAAAAUGUGUAAUACUGAAGUGGAUUAAAGAUAGACACAAAUUUUUGACACUGUUCUCAUCAAAAGGUGCUGAUAACCUUCAGAACAUGGCAGCUGCUUUCCUUCUGCCUCCCAGAACUCACAACUUCCCUUUGGACCAACUCCAAUCUGAAAUUAUGUAGAAAGGGAGAGUCUGAAAAACAUAGUCCCAAACAUAACCAAGUAGACAAUAGAACAAUCUGGCACAUUGAUUGGUAUUUUGACUUAACCGCCAGAUCACCAGCAGCUCAUUGUAGGCAGGCGCAAGUAAAUAUCUCACCUCAAAUGCAACAAGUACAAAAUGAAUGCAUCAUAGUGUCCCAGGCUUCCAUUAAACAAAAACAAAUAAAUAAAACAAACAAAAAGCAAUCUUUUAUCCCUCAGCUUUAUUAAUGCAUAACUAACAAAUAAAAAUGGUAUAUAUAUUUAUGGUGUACAUCAUGACAUUUCUUUCCGUGUAUACAAAAAGCAAUCUUUCUGAGUACUGCUCAGUUACCACUACCUCUAAGUGAUCCUGUGUAUUCCACACCCUAAGUGUCCAUCUGACCUUCCUCACUGCCCUGUGUCCCAGCAGUCUCUGCCUUCUAUCAAGCUUUCCUCUUUGCUUUCCCGCAUUAAUGAAGUGCUCCUCUCUCUUGCCACCCUGCCUCCAAUCUCGCCCUGCUCCAAACCUUCCAUUAAACCACAUGAAUCUUUCUAAAAUGUAAAAUUCUGCUUAUUUUACUUAAAUUAUUUUAGUGACUCCGUAUCACCUAUCAUAUACAUCUUUCUUGGUGUGAUAUGAAAGACCCCUCAUAUAUAUUCUGACCCCCACCUACAUUUUUA
rnacentral:lncRNA from 1 species